UUGCACGUUGCGAGACGAGGAAGGAUGAUAAGCAGGGUGUAUGUAGGAUACGUGUGAAUAGAAGGUCAGUGAAAUCGCAAAAGUCAUUAAAAAAUAAGACAAACGGGGCCAAAGAGUGUAGCGAAUUGUGCGGUUUCACUUGCGUACUUGUACAGUAUUCGCAAUUAUAUUUUCAAAACAGGUGAACAAGCGCAGCCACGUUCCUCGGUAGCGUUGGUGAACCAAAUGAAGUGCAAUGAAGUUUUUAUUGGCUUGAUCGUGGCGUAUAUUCUACCAGGUGUGUGCCUUGGCAACCGAGUCAGCAAUAACACGCAAUCAUUCAUAUAUAUAUAAAGACGGAACGCCGAGUAUGGAAUAACGAGCGGUGAAAAUAUAUAUCGCGAGUGAAACCCGGCCAAUGGGGAAAUAUAGAGUUUCCUCGUACCACGAAAUCGUUCCAUUACUUGAGAAACUGUAAAUAACAUACUAUUCUUGAUUUUU